GAAUUGAAGAGUUUGAUCAUGGCUCAGAUUGAACGCUGGCGGCAGGCUUAACACAUGCAAGUCGAACGGUAGCAGGAAGAAAGCUUGCUUUCUUUGCUGACGAGUGGCGGACGGGUGAGUAAUGCUUGGGAAUCUGGCUUAUGGAGGGGGAUAACUGUGGGAAACUGCAGCUAAUACCGCGUAUUCUCUGAGGAG
rnacentral:rRNA from 1 species